AAAAGAAUGGGGAAGUAUUGGUUCCAGACCUGCUGCAGAGAGAGGCUCAAAGAGACUCGGCACUGGCAGAACAAAGAAACCUAGGAGGGAAGCUUUGCUCCAAAAGAGAGGUUUUGCUUCAGGAGAAGACUGUUCCAAGAAAAGGGAGACUGGCUGUUUCAAACUCAAAAAAGCUGAUCUUAUGGCUCUUAGCAAAAUACAUGAAGGCCAUCAUCGGAUGUGGGCUGAUUGAUCUUGGACUUCCAAGCCUCCAGAACUAGAACUACUCCACCAUCAUCUGAUGUGGUUCUGAUGGCUGUGUGUUUCUCAGCUUUAUCCUCAGCCUGUGGGUAAUUUAAAAUAAAUACUUUUGCAAGUGAACCAAUAGAAAUAUUUCACUGUCAUUGGGCAGAAAGCUAAAAACCUAAUUACGUUGGAAGUAGGAAGAGGAAGUAAGUAUGGUUGGAAGAGGUGGAGUCUGGUGCUGCCAGAGCAGAAAGCACAAAGAAGAACGUGCUUUUAGGUGGGUGCCCUAAGAGACAUGAUAAGU
rnacentral:lncRNA from 1 species